GAGAGGUUUAAAGCGUCGGAUUGCUAAUCCGUUGUACGAGUUUUCUGUACCGAGGGUUCGAAUCCCUUUCUCUCC
rnacentral:tRNA from 1 species